rnacentral:rRNA from 1 species
UACAGGGGGGGCAAGCGUUGUUCGGAAUUACUGGGCGUAAAGGGUCUGUAGGUGGCCAACUAAGUCAGACGUGAAAUCCCUCAGCUUAACUGGGAGACUGUCUUUUGAAACUUCUAAACUAGAGGGGCAAAGAGGAAGCUGGAACGAACGGUGUAGUAGUGAAAUGCGUUGAUAUCGUUCGGAACACCAAUAGCGUAGGCAGGCUUCUGGGUGCCACCUGACACUGCUAGGACGAAAGCGUGGGGAGCAAACAGG